GUCUAUGGCCAUACCACCCUGAACGCACCUGAUCUUGUCUGAUCUCGGAAGCUAAACAGGGUCGGGCCUGGUUAGUAGUUGGAUGGGUACCAAAAAAUGUAAUAAUGAGAAAGUAACAAUAAUCU
ensembl:rRNA 5S_rRNA 5S ribosomal RNA